UGAAAACUGAUUCCUUUCAAGAAUAAUAAACAGUAAAAGAAGCCAAAUGAGUAAUUUAUAACUGUUCAGAAGUACAAACAAUUAACUUAAUUGUAAACAUUUUAAAAAUAAAAAAUUCCUUCAAGCAGCAACUUCAAAUAUUCAUUACAAACCAGUAUUUUAAAUUAAGCGACAUAUUAACAUAACUAUAGAAAAAAAAAAUUCUUCAUAUUCUUUCUUAUACAUCAAAAGCAGUAUAUCUACACAUACAAGGACAGUACAUAUAAAACAUCUUCAUGUUAUUUUUUUUUAUUGCGUAACUACAGUAAAUAUUUUGUUUUAUUAAAUGUUAUCUUUAUUGUUUUAAAUAUUGCUACACAGAUAAUUACACAAUAAAAUACCGAAAAAAAAAUAAUGAACACAUUUUUUUUUAAGUAGCUUUUCUUUAAGCGCUUUAAAUAUUUCCCAUGUGAUCUCUUUCUUAGAAAGUUUGUGGUCAGUGCAAAAUGAUCCCUUCACUCUGGCAGUGCUGUAAGCAGCAAGUACUUCGAACAAUACAUUCUCAUAGUGAUGGAGUAAGCCUAACGGAAGCUCGUUCGAGACACCUCCGGUUAAAUAUGUACCCCGAGCACGUGGUCACCGCGGAUUGCUCGCCGGCUAGGAGAAACCGAGAAAAGACCGCACUCACCUUGGAUGAAGAAUCGCGGCUGACGGUGCUGCUCGUCGAAGGCUGGUCUAUACACUCACUCACAUCACCAGACUCAUGAGGGCAUUCAGCCAUGCUACAGUGGUCCGAGCCUGUCUACACCCCGCUGUACGGCAUUUCGCUGACGAACGAGGAGGAAAAAAGAAAGCGGCGGUGCUUACACUUUCCUCACGUGUUCAGCUGCUGCAUCGCGACAUCUGUGACUGGGCCGUGUGGGUGUGGGUUCGCGGAACUACAGCCGCUCAGCUGAGAGAACGCAGCGAGCACCACUGCCCGGAAUGUGCGACGAAUGUUUCGAGCGCGAGUUGACUGUUUCCUUCGUAUAGAGUGGAAGGAACUUCGGCAUGCGUUCUUUCUCUUAUUUUCCGCCUCUUGUUUUAAAUUUCAGAAACAGUAUUUUCUCCUUGCGCAGUGCUGGAUUUUAUCGGACGACAAAAGCGAAAAGAGCUUAUCAAUUGCGGGCGAAAUGAAUCUGUUGAAACACGAAUAUAACUAAUAACCUCAGCCGUUACUUCAUAUUCAAAUUAUAAUCUCAAAACUGUACCAGCAGAUGUCUUCCAAGUACAGCAGACCACUGAGGUCGAGAGUACAGAAACUUUCACCGAAGUUUUCAAAAUAAUUUGUGUUGCAUCUCAGAGCAAACACACAAAACUUAAUAGCCUGACCUAACUUUUAAAAUUAAUCUAAAAUUAGAAACGGAAAUAAAUUUAAUGUACCAUGUACGAUAUUAAACAAGCGUUAGAAAGAAAGAAAAAUUCUCUCUUAUAUUAAGCAAAACGAUUGCGGAGAAAUUUUUGUUACUGAAUUUAGAUCUUCGAAAAGUAAUAAUAAAUUAGGAAUAGUUCUUUCUUCUCUUCCGGUGCGCAAGUUUGCAUAGCAAACUUUUACAUUAAAGAAUACACAGAAGCUAUACUCAAUUUUCCUCCCACAUUAUGCCUCAUUUUGCAUGCAUUUUAAGAUUUUAAAAUCCCGCGAUUCAAAAAAAAAAAAAAAAUUGGAAUGCAUAGUACUUUUCAUUUGUAAAUCUGGCUACUAAAAAUCCCAGUGAAGUUUCGCUGUGCGUAAAACGUCCGACAAGUAACUCAGUGGGCUCAAGAAUUCGCGAUGCACCCGAUGCGAGGUUACACAUAGAAAGCUCGGCACACUGAACAUAGCUUGCAGUUCAGAGCUUGCAGAAGGUUUGCAGAAAAUGCUUGCACAGUUAUUCCUGAAACAUGCGAUUGAAAAACGGUCCUCCUUACUGUAAUCCGCAGACUUUCAUGGAGUAUUCCUGUGCUGCACAAUUUGGAACUCGAAGUGUAAACCACGAAAUUAAUUUUAUAAAUGCAUCCUAUUACUACGCUCAGCCUACGGAGCUUACAGUGUUACACAUUCUGCGCAGUAGUAAUGCAUACUUUUCCUCCAGGUCUGGCUGAUGACGUCACGCCCAGGAUUUUCCCCGGGCUCGCGGGAUGCAGGUGAUGCGUUUUGUGCUCGCAUUGAGCAAUAUUUGUUAUAGGGGAGGCAGCGUAGAGUCUUUCGAAGGUGCCAGAAAAAAUUGAGAUUUGUAAUUUGUAUAAACCCUACCUGUUCAAAAUAAAUAGCAAAAAUCUCGCAACUCAUUACAGUUAAAGAAGUUAAGAAGAUCGGAUGUCCUAAGUAAAUGAAGUCGAUAGACAUUUCCAUUUCACGUGGUUACCUCUGCAUCAUCAGCGAGUAGUAAAAAGGUUGUCAUGUGAAAUCUUUGCACCUCUUUGUGUGUUAGUGGAUGGGGAGGGGAAGAAAUUGCUCUGAAUCUCAUUUCAGGUGUUUCGAUAUUUUAAGGAUACAGAAGAAUAUGUCCAUCAAGAUAGUUUUGAGAAACGUGUGUGAUGGCAAAAGAAACGGGACUCCAACUGAGACACUAAAAUUUUACAUGUUGCUGAGGUAAAACAAGUUGCUUGAUGCAGAAUAGAUACCAUGUCUUGAACUAACCAGAAGCAAAGUAGGUUUGAAAUUUUUCAAUGUGAGAAAGCUUAUACUAUUAAAGAUCAAAUUUCUUCUUUUCAGCCAGAAAGAAGAAACAACUGUUGCAAUGCUCUACCAUUACCAAAAUUUUGGCCAUAAGCACCUUGGCUAUUAUAGCAUGUCAUUUUACUUCAAAUGCAUGGAAAAUUCCUUCUUCAUGUUGUUGUUAUCAAAAGAAGAAAAGCACUUUGAAGACCACCCAGCAAGUCUGGGACAUGUUCCUAAAUUUCCUCGAGUGAUAGCCAGUGGUCAUUAUAGACCAUCUUCUAGUGUGGAAAGCCUGUCACUCAUAUUGCAGAUUGUAAUUUAAAUUUCUGAUAUCCCUACUGAGGGAAAUUCAUUGUUUAAACCACACGAUUGCACAUGGUCAAAGCCGCACUGUUGACCUACUCUGAAUGCGGAGUAAUGCUAACAUUCCUUGGAAAAAUAUUCACCGACUUGAAUGUUGCAAAAUUACAACUUCCGAAGUUUAAAAUUUGGCUGAAAAACUGUAGAAAUAUUAAAAAAAAACUUCAGUUUAGAAACCUAAAAUAUACUUUUCUGGUUGAUAUUAUGUUUUUUUUUUUUUUUUUUUUUUUUUUUUUUUUGUAAUUUAUGUCCAUGCACUGUAUGAAUACUGAAUAUAUGUCCCAAUUCUCUGCACUAUAUUGCAAUUUCAGAGUUGCCUAUAAUUUCCUUGAACUGGCUUUUUAAUCAUCGGACAUUUCUCUAUUUUGUUAAUUCAUCUCUCUCUCUUUUUUCAUUUCAUUUCAUUAAAAAAUCUCAUGAGCUUUCCAGUAUCAUGGCCUAUAUGAUACCAUAUCCUUAAAUAUACAAAAGCCAGCAUUUGAAAUAGAAUUACCAUCAUGUAUUUGCAUAAUUUCCUUGAACUGGCUUUCUAAUCAUUGGACAUUUCUGUGUUUUGUUAAUUCAUCUCUUUCUUUCAUUUCAUAAGAAAAAAUCUCAUGAGCUAAUAGCCAGAUUAGAGAACAAGGUGCUGGCAUUGGAUAGAAGUAAAGCAGCGUUAAGACUGAAACUAAUGGCCCCAUCACUUCUAUGGACUCACGCACUUACCCGGGACAAUUUCGAGAAAUGUUUCGUCUAGCUAGGAGGAACCAUGGAGGUAAGAAAGAAGGAGUGGCCAACCGGCACUAGAAGUGAAGCACUGCUUCGAAGCUUCGGUCACCAGAUGGGG